CAGUCGCCGCGGUAACACGUAGGGUGCGAGCGUUAAUCGGAAUUACUGGGCGUAAAGCGUGCGCAGGCGGUUGUGUAAGACAGGUGUGAAAUCCCCGGGCUUAACCUGGGAACUGCGCUUGUGACUGCACAGCUAGAGUAUGGCAGAGGGGGGUGGAAUUCCACGUGUAGCAGUGAAAUGCGUAGAGAUGUGGAGGAACACCGAUGGCGAAGGCAGCCCCCUGGGCCAAUACUGACGCUCAUGCACGAAAGCGUGGGGAGCAAACAGGAUUAGAUACCCGAGUAGUCCCUGUCUCUUAUAC
rnacentral:rRNA from 1 species